AUUGAACGCUGGCGGCAGGCCUAGCACAUGCAAGUCAAGCGGAUGAAGGGAGCUUGCUCCUGGAUUCAGCGGCGGACGGGUGAGUAAUGCCUAGGAAUCUGCCUGGUAGUGGGGGAUAACGUCCGGAAACGGGCGCUAAUACCGCAUACGUCCUGAGGGAGAAAGUGGGGGAUCUUCGGACCUCACGCUAUCAGAUGAGCCUAGGUCGGAUUAGCUAGUUGGUGGGGUAAAGGCCUACCAAGGCGACGAUCCGUAACUGGUCUGAGAGGAUGAUCAGUCACACUGGAACUGAGACACGGUCCAGACUCCUACGGGAGGCAGCAGUGGGGAAUAUUGGACAAUGGGCGAAAGCCUGAUCCAGCCAUGCCGCGUGUGUGAAGAAGGUCUUCGGAUUGUAAAGCACUUUAAGUUGGGAGGAAGGGCAGUAAGUUAAUACCUUGCUGUUUUGACGUUACCAACAGAAUAAGCACCGGCUAACUUCGUG
rnacentral:rRNA from 1 species